UACGUAGGGGGCAAGCGUUGUCCGGAAUCAUUGGGCGUAAAGCGCGUGUAGGCGGCUGAGUAAGUCUGCUCUGAAAGCCCGGGGCUCAACCCCGGGAGGCGGGUGGAUACUGCUCAGCUCGAGUCCGGAAGAGGAGUUUGGAAUUCCUGGUGUAGCGGUGAAAUGCGCAGAUAUCAGGAGGAACACCAAUGGCGAAGGCAGCACUCUGGGACGGUACUGACGCUGAGACGCGAAAGCGUGGGGAGCAAACAGG
rnacentral:rRNA from 1 species